UACAGAGGGUGCGAGCGUUAAUCGGAAUUACUGGGCGUAAAGCGCGCGUAGGCGGCUUUGCAAGUCGAGUGUGAAAUCCCCAGGCUUAACCUGGGAACUGCAUUCGAGACUGUAUGGCUAGAGUAUGGGAGAGGGAAGUGGAAUUUCAGGUGUAGCGGUGAAAUGCGUAGAUAUCUGAAGGAACAUCAGUGGCGAAAGCGACUUCCUGGACCAAUACUGACGCUCAUGUGCGAAAGCGUGGGGAGCAAACAGG
rnacentral:rRNA from 1 species